rnacentral:lncRNA from 1 species
UAAAAUAUUUCAUGUAGACAACUACAGCUAUAAAGCACUAACAGGCUUGUGGCUCCUUUGCAGCGUUCUGGUUGUACAAAGAAGAAAGUUGUUGUUGCCCGAGACACAUCACAUGUUUUAAGCAGAAGAGCCUAUGAUGUACAGAAUGCAUCUUCUUCAAAUAGCAGCCACUCUGACGUGCAGGGUGGAUCAUUUAUUGCAACCAGCGGAUCAAGUAAUCAGGUCAGGAUUUUCUUUAUUUUGAGCUAGUCUUGUUCAGAUAGCUUCUGAGUAAUUAAACUAAUUAAAUUCAGAAAUAGGAAUUUAAGUAAUUUUACAUUGGAAGACUGGUGAUGCUAUCCAUUAAUUUGUAAAU